AUUGAACGCUGGCGGCAGGCCUAACACAUGCAAGUCGAGCGGAGCGGCGGUCGGGUGAGUAAUGCCUAGGAAUCUGCCUGGUCGUGGGGGAUAACGUCCGGAACCGGGCGCUAAUACCGCAUACUCUCAGAUGAGCCUAGGUCGGAUUAGCUAGUGGGAGGGGUAAAGGCCUACCAAGGCGACGAUCCGUAACUGGUCUGAGAGGAUGAUCAGUCACACUGGAACUGAGACACGGUCCAGACUCCUACGGGAGGCAGCAGUGGGGAAUAUUGGACAAUGGGCGAAAGCCUGAUCCAGCCAUGCCGCGUGUGUGAAGAAGGUCUUCGGAUUGUAAAGCACUUUAAGUUGGGAGGCGUUACCAACAGAAUAAGCACCGGCUAACUUCGUGCCAGCAGCCGCGGUAAUUC
rnacentral:rRNA from 1 species